GAUGAACGCUGGCGGCGUGCCUAAUACAUGCAAGUCGAGCGAACGGACGAGAAGCUUGCUUCUCUGAUGUUAGCGGCGGACGGGUGAGUAACACGUGGAUAACCUACCUAUAAGACUGGGAUAACUUCGGGAAACCGUAGCUAAUACCGGAUAAUAUUUUGAACCGCAUGGUUCAAAAGUGAAAGACGGUCUUGCUGUCACUUAUAGAUGGAUCCACGCUGCAUUAGCUAGUUGGUAAGGUAACGGCUUACCAAGGCAACGAUGCAUAGCCGACCUGAGAGGGUGAUCGGCCACACUGGAACUGAGACACGGUCCAGACUCCUACGGGAGGCAGCAGUAGGGAAUCUUCCGCAAUGGGCGCAAGCCUGACGGAGCAACGCCGCGUGAGUGAUGAAGGUCUUCGGAUCGUAAAACCCUGUUAUUGGGAAAGAAAAUAUGUGUAAGAAACUGUGCACAUCUUGACGGUACCUAAUCAAAAAGCAACGGCUAACUUCGUG
rnacentral:rRNA from 1 species